rnacentral:lncRNA from 10 species
ACAGAGGAGAAAAUGAUUUGUUGGACUUGAAGAGAUUAGGGAAGACUUCAAACAGAAGGUGGCAUAUGAAAUCAAUAAACUGCAGUCCAGAAAGGGAUAGAAUCACAGCGAGUGAAAUGAGACUUGUAAUCAACUUAGAUCUAUUUUCAUCCAAGUCAGAGCCAAUAGAAAAUCAGAAGCCAUCCAUGGGAGGGCAUUCCACAUAUCUAUGACAUACAUCGUGUGAAUUGCACAGUACAAAAACAGCUGCAUGUAAUAGUCCAUGACAGAUUUACCGUUGAAGAAGGUGAACAAUGAAGAACAAAUGAAGUUGAUGGGAUGGCUAGAACAUUGCUCAGUGGAAGGAAAUUUCCUUGUCUCAGGUUUUUCUUUUGUCCAGCCACCUCUCUAAACUGUUUGACUUCUGCAGUUGUUUUUCAGGGGGAAGAGAAUACUGAGAUGGAUUUAAUGAAAUUACAUUUUCCAAGAAGCCUCUUGAACAGAAUGAAGUUCUUCAUUUGCCACUAAACUUUCCUCCUUGACUGAGCUCACUGAUGGUUUCUUUAAUAUGCAGAGAAAGGAUCUCCUUCUGCCAUGAACCUGAGGAUGCCCAGUGGCUGACUAUACUUGCCACAAACAACUCCAAGAUGGUUAAUAUGAACAGAUAUUCCGAAAGGAGUUUGCCACUUUUCUGUAUCCACAAAGAAAAUGUACAUUCCUUACAGAUCUUUCUAUGUGAGCACUUUAGAAAUAAUAAAGGUAUCUUAAAAUUGAAGAAGAAAAAUAGAAGAGAAAAACUACCCACCCUAUCCUCCACCCUCAACAAUAGAAUUUUAAAUAUUUUUUAAUUGUAAUUACAAUGGAUAAUUAUUGAGGAUGAUGAUAUACUGAUAUAUUUCUGCCAAAUGUAUGAUGAGAAUCAUUGAUUGUGUUUUCCUGUUUAUUGUUGUGGAUAAUAACAGGAAAUUUUCAUUGAGUCCAAUAAAUCUCUGGGGAAGAUGGAAUUGUGACACCCUUGAGGUUUAGUGUUAUAGAACUUAUUUAAUAGAGAAACUUACAUAAAUUUGCCCUGUUGAUAGGAAAGGACACUAAAGAGAAACAAUGAAAGAAAAGAAUGUUUGGACUUGUAACCUGGACUCAACACAAGGGCUGAUGUGACCUGGGGGUAGGAAUUUCCUCCUGGGAUUGUGCCUCUGUCUAUAAGCUCCAAUAGACCCAUAUCCUGACAGUAUAGCUGGGUUAGAGACAAGAAUACAGAAUCCGUAAUAUUGGAAGCCCAAGCCUCUUCAGUACUCAGUGCACUUUUAUGACAAGGUCACCAUGGGCUACUCAAAUCAGUGUUAAAUAAUGGCGUCAUUUAAUAGUAACUGAACCAUAGCAGUGGAAAUUAAGGGCACACUGGUGGACUGAUGAGGUACUACAUGACUCUGUUAACUAAGGGCUUGGAGUCAAUAUCGAACCUUUGGAUCCCAGUGGUUUUGAGUAACUUGAGAGGGUCAACAGGGAGGGGCCCUCAGAAGGAAGAUUCUGGAUUUCCUACUAAUAUGAAUAUGAUAGUUUAAGAGAUAAAUUAGAAAAAUGAAAGAGUUAAGAUCAUAAUUAAAGAUCAAUCCAAUAAAAUGAGCCAUUCUUGUUAUACAAAUAUAAUCUUAAGCAAUAUCUUUAUGUUUCUAUUUAUUUAAGAUACCACUUUAAGGUAUCCAUCAGGGUAUGUGUCAUAAAAUAUUAGCAUUCUCCGCAGCAGCAAAAUGAUUCUUUGAUGUGCCACUGAAUUGAUUUUUGUAAAAGCUCCAUUUUGUGGGGUAAGAUAAUUUAGAAUUUAAAACCAUUCUGCAUUAGAAAAAAUGAUCUGUAAGUGACUAGCCACGUGACUCUGAGCAAGUAGUUUAAAAUUUCUAAACUCAUUUCUUUAUUGAAUCAGAGACAUAAAUCGUUCCUAAGGAGGUUUACCAUUGCACUCACUGUAAAAUCACUUUCAAAGCUACAUAGAAAUAAGAAAAAUCCAAUAAAAUGCAAACUGGUGUAUUCUUUGCAACUAGAUAAUUAACCAAGAGUUUUGGAUGUUGAAGUAAGGAGAGUUUACUUAAUUAGUUAGGAAUUUAAAUACAGGCAAUAUCCAAUGGGUUCAAUUCAGAAAAGUUGAUUUCUAAGUAUUGGUAAAAGUUCCCACUAUUUUGCCCUUCAUCAAGCCCUGGG